UAUGAAAUGAUUUUAAAAUUAGUAUAGUUUGAAAUUUAAUAAUUUUGGCGGUUAUAUUAUUUAUUAGAGGAGCUUGUCGUUAGAAUUUACUCUUUAUAUUUCAUUAAAUAAAGUCUAUUUAUCUCCGUUACUAGAAAACAUUUUAAUAAAAUUUUAUUUUAAAUCUCAGGUCAAGAUAUAGCAAUUUUUUUAAAGGAUUAGCUACAAUUACGUAGUAAUUGAUUUAUGAAAAUAAGAUAUUAAUGAAAAUGAAUUUAAUUGUAAUAUUUAAUUAAAAAAUUGUUAUGAAAUUUAAUAAUUAAUGUACAUAUUGCCCGUCACUUCUAAUUAUAAGUAGAAUAAGUCGUAACAAAGUAAAUUUAAGGGA
rnacentral:rRNA from 1 species